CUCAUGAAAUCAGGUUCGUAGUAACCCCCUGGCCGGGAUAGCUGCCUGCCCAGCUCAGAUCACCACUGAGAGCUUCACAGGAGGAGUGGAGCUGGAUUUGAUCCUGGCUGCCUUCCACUGAAGCUGAAGACUGAAGAUUUGGAUCAGAAUAUAAGGCCCAAUGAGUAAAGGUCCUCUAAGUGCUAAAUUUUCCUCCUUUGAAGAUGAAACCUUAAU
rnacentral:lncRNA from 13 species